rnacentral:tRNA from 1 species
GGGCCUGUAGUCUAGCGGCUAUGAAACCGAGGCACAAAAGAGCGUGAUCAGAGAGGGGUGUUAACUCGGUUUAGCAAACGUCGCCUUCACACGGCGGAGGUCCCCGGUUCGAAUCCGGGCAGGCCCA